rnacentral:sRNA from 1 species
AAAGUUUCAAGAUUCAUAAACACAAAGAAAAACUGAAAGAUAAAAACAUAGAUCUUUUGGACAAACCCCAAAAUGUUCUAUUUAUACUAAAAUGUUGGAAACCCAAGAUUCACUAGAAGACAAGAGACUUGAGGCGGUUUGGGCGAAUACUCGAUCUUGGGGAUCGAGUAAAGAGGAUGCUGCAAAGUUUGCGCCUUUGUGUUUAUGCUCCGAGUGAUCAAUUGGUCGAGUAGAUGCUUCAUCCUCUCCUAUCCGUAUGCUCAGAUGUCUGGUUGAGUGGGGAAUGAGGAGGAUCCGAAGACGCUUUGAUAGCUCAACAAGUCUUGUAGAGAUGGUCACCCUUGGUCGAGUAAAUGGAUCGAGUAGUGGAUCGAGUAGGAGGGGCGAGUAGAUUAGUCUGCUUCUUCUUCUGAGGUUGCCUUGAUCGAGUAAAUGGAUCGAGUAGAGUCCUUUUAAGCUCCUUUUGCACCUGAAAACACACCAAAACAUGCAAUGCGAAUGCAAAGUGAUCCUAGAUGCCUAAGUAUGCAAAACAACCUAAAAAUGUGCAAAAUGAUAUGAUACAAUGAGCAAAUGCAAAGCUAAAUGAUGAUAAACAUACACCUAAAAUGAGUAAAAUACAGUGUUAUCAGAGAGGAAUUGAAUUGUCUCUUCUUCAUAUGCUACAUAAGGGUAACCUAAGCUGUUCUCGAGUUACACUAACUCGAAUUGGAUCGAUUAGAGUAGAAACCGUUGGUCGAGUAAACUCUCUGAAGUUGAAUGGCUCUGUUGAUUGCAAGAACAAGAGGUCGAGUGGAUACUUGAGAUCGAGUAGUCUCUGAGCCUUCGACGGUGAACGAAGCGGAGUACUCGAUUGCGGCGGCGCAAAGAUGGUCGAGUGUUGCGAGAACAAAGUGAUGGCGAACGGCAAGGUGAAAAGGUCGAGUGACAGAGGAAAUGAACUCGGUGACGGCGGCGCGGAGGUCGAGUUCUUUUUGGAGGUCGAUUAAACAGAAGGGUCGAGUAAAUCUUGGUGAGAGAUAGCGAUACGUGGUCGAAUGAGUCGUGGAACUCAGCUGAGGCGGCGGAGUAGUUCUGUCACGCGGAGGUCGAGUGCGGCAAGGGUUUAUGAGGUCGAGUUGUUUCUUGAUAUCGAGUGGUGGAAAAUAGAAGAUAGUAUGGUCGAGUGAAAUUUUAAAAGGAGUGGUGGAGAUUGAGUUUGAGAUUCUCUCUCCAUCUUAUCCUCAGCGCGUGGUCCACACUCAGUUGACUGGGAAAACUGCAUGAAAUCUACUGUAAACUUGAUAAACUCCCUGUAAGACUCUGUAGCUUCUGUUGGUCGAGUAAAAUAUUGA